rnacentral:misc_RNA from 1 species
AAGUCGUAACAAGGUUUCCGUAGGUGAACCUGCGGAAGGAUCAUUAUCGUGGGGCUCCGGCCCCGUCGAGAUAGAACCCUUGCCUUUUCGAGUACCGUCCGUUUCCUCGGCAGGCCCGCCUGCCAAUGGGGACCCCAAACAAACCCUUUUUGUACCUGUACCAGUCUGAACAACAAACAAAAAUUAAAACUUUCAACAACGGAUCUCUUGGUUCUG